AGGCUGGCGGCGUGCUAAUACAUGCAAGUGGAACGCAUGAUGGAUACCGGAGCUUGCUCCACCAUUCAUCAUGAGUCGCGAACGGGUGAGUAACGCGUAGGUAACCUACCUUCUAGCGGGGGAUAACUAUUGGAAACGAUAGCUAAUACCGCAUGACAAUGAAGUACACAUGUACUUGAUUUAAAAGGAGCAAUAGCUUCACUAGGAGAUGGACCUGCGUUGUAUUAGCUAGUUGGUAGGGUAACGGCCUACCAAGGCCUCGAUACAUAGCCGACCUGAGAGGGUGAUCGGCCACACUGGGACUGAGACACGGCCCAGACUCCUACGGGAGGCAGCAGUAGGGAAUCUUCGGCAAUGGGGGGAACCCUGACCGAGCAACGCCGCGUGAGUGAAGAAGGUUUUCGGAUCGUAAAGCUCUGUUGUAAGAGAAGAACGUGUGUGAGAGUGGAAAGUUCACACAGUGACGGUAACUUACCAGAAAGGGACGGCUAACUACGUGCCAGCAGCCGCGGUAAUACGUAGGUCCCGAGCGUUGUCCGGAUUUAUUGGGCGUAAAGCGAGCGCAGGUGGUUGUAUAAGUCUGAAGUAAAAGGCAGUGGCUCAACCAUUGUGUGCUUUGGAAACUGUACAACUUGAGUGCAGAAGGGGAGAGUGGAAUUCCAUGUGUAGCGGUGAAAUGCGUAGAUAUAUGGAGGAACACCGGUGGCGAAAGCGGCUCUCUGGUCUGUAACUGACACUGAGGCUCGAAAGCGUGGGGAGCAAACAGGAUUAGAUACCCCUGGUAGUCCACGCCGUAAACGAUGAGUGCUAGGUGUUGGGUCCUUUCCGGGACUCAGUGCCGCAGCUAACGCAUUAAGCACUCCGCCUGGGGGAGUACGGCCGCAAGGCUGAAACUC
rnacentral:rRNA from 1 species